CGCGGUAAUACGUAGGGGGCAAGCGUUAUCCGGAAUUACUGGGUGUAAAGGGUGCGUAGGUGGUAUGGCAAGUCAGAAGUGAAAACCCAAGGCUCAACCAUGGGACUGCUUUGGAAACUAUCAGCUAGAGUGCAGGAGAGGAAAGCGGAAUUCCUAGUGUAGCGGUGAAAUGCGUAGAUAUUAGGAGGAACACCAGUGGCGAAGGCGGCUUACUGGACUGAAACUGACGCUGAGGCACGAAAGCGUGGGGAGCA
rnacentral:rRNA from 1 species